rnacentral:rRNA from 1 species
GAUGAACGCUGGCGGCGCGCCUAACACAUGCAAGUCGAACGGCACCCACCUCCGGGUGGAAGCGAGUGGCGCACGGCUGAGUAACACGUGGAGAACCUGCCCCCUCCCCCGGGAUAGCCGCCCGAAAGGACGGGUAAUACCGGAUACCCCGGGGUGCCGCAUGGCACCCCGGCUAAAGCCCCGACGGGAGGGGAUGGCUCCGCGGCCCAUCGGGGAGACGGCGGGGUGACGGCGCACCGUGCCGACAACGGGUAGCCGGGUGGGGAGACCGACCGGCCAGAUGGGGACGGAGACCCGGCCCAGACUCCUACGGGAGGCAGCGGUGGGGAAUCUUGCGCAAUGGGGGGGACCCUGACGCAGCGACGCCGCGUGCGGGACGGAGGCCUUCGGGUCGUAAACCGCUUUCAGCAGGGAAGAGUCAAGACUGUACCUGCAGAAGAAGCCCCGGCUAACUACGUGCCAGCAGCCGCCGUAAUAC